AGUGAACGCUGGCGGUAGGCCUAACACAUGCAAGUCGAACGGCAGCACAGUAAGAGCUUGCUCUUACGGGUGGCGAGUGGCGGACGGGUGAGGAAUACAUCGGAAUCUACUUUUUCGUGGGGGAUAACGUAGGGAAGCUUACGCUAAUACCGCAUACGACCUACGGGUGAAAGCAGGGGAUCUUCGGACCUUGCGCGAUUGAAUGAGCCGAUGUCGGAUUAGCUAGUUGGCGGGGUAAAGGCCCACUAAGGCGACGAUCCGUAGCUGGUCUGAGAGGAUGAUCAGCCACACUGGAACUGAGACACGGUCCAGACUCCUACGGGAGGCAGCAGUGGGGAAUAUUGGACAAUGGGCGCAAGCCUGAUCCAGCCAUACCGCGUGGGUGAAGAAGGCCUUCGGGUUGUAAAGCCCUUUUGUUGGGAAAGAAAAGCAGCAGGUUAAUACCCCGCUGUUCUGACGGUACCCAAAGAAUAAGCACCGGCUAACUUCGUG
rnacentral:rRNA from 1 species